rnacentral:rRNA from 1 species
AUGGCAUCGACCCCGCCGCCGCGAGAUCUCGCGCGCCUCGACCCCGCCGCCCCGCCCACGCGAGAUCUCGCCGGUCUCGCCCUGGCCGCCGAAAGAUCUCGCCGGCCCCGCCCUCGCCACGGCUCUCACGCGGCCACGCCGUCAGGCCAGUCGCCUGACCGGCGCGGUUCAUCAUCAUCCGCCUGUAAAGACUUCCUCCGGAAGUUCGUGGACAACGAGCUUCUGACGGCAAGCCUAGAGGAUUGGUUUUCUGGGGACAGCGAGGACUGCGGUUUCCGGAAGCCGGCUUUCGAUGUUCCUUUUGACCUUGCCGAGCUGCAGAAUUUUGACUAUGCUCUGGAAGGUGUUACUUUUCAGCAGCUAGUGCGGAUGCCCAACGCUCUUCAUGCGUCCACAUCGGAUGUUUUUGAAGCUACUGCGCACCUUGCCCUGGAGGAUUUUCUGCACGCUGGCAUCAAGGGACUCUGGGAAGCUUUCUGGGGUCCUGAGGAAGCUAUGCCUUUCUCUGUUGCUUGCAUACACAGCACGAGCUCCAGAUUUUACCCUGCCGAGAAGGCUAUUGGCAGCGGAAAACUCGAUGGUGUCUGUGCGACAGCUGUGCUGCUCAAGAAUUCAAAGCAUUCGCAAGGGAGAUGGGAUCAUAUUGUUGUGUUGGCUUUGUUGAGACCUGAUAUUGGAAUGGUUUCUGUGCAGAGUGACCAGCAUCUGUCUCCUGCUGUCCUGGGGGAGGCGCUAUUCUUUGCACUUCGUGUAUUGCUUUCUCGGAGCCUCAGCAGGUCCUCCACUGUCCUUCGAAAUUCAGAUUCUGUUUAUGUGCUCCUCGUAGACUCACAGUUUGGAGGAGUGGUCAAUGUCCAAGGCGAUCUGAACAAGCUAAACUUUGAUUUGAACAAUGUUUAUGAGUGUGCUGCUGAAUGGAUAAAAAAGGAUGCCAAAAUUACAGUUUCUUCCGUUGACCGGGUAUGGAAUAAACUUGGGAAUGCUAACUGGGGAGACAUUGGGACCCUUCAAGUUCUCCUUGCAGUUUACCACUCAAUGGUCCAAUUCUGCGGAGCACCAAAGUAUUCUCUCGAUGAACUGGCCACAGAGCAUAGUUCCAGGCUACAGAGUCGAAGAUCGGAGAGACACUUGGUCGACAGACAAUCCAAUGGAAACGGUCUGUUUCGGUUCCAGCAGCGAAGUCAUUCUCCUGAAAUUGUUGAAGUGCAGGAGGAAGGCACUGUAGAUGUAAAACCAGAUGAAAUCUUGAAGCUUGAGAUAGGGUCCAUUGUCUUCAUGGAAGAUUCUAACUGCCAGAAGGGUUUUCAAAUCAAUGAUAUUCGAACAGAAAGUGAGCCUCCUAUUUAUGGUGCUGUUCCUGUGGAAGAGCCUACCAAAUCCUAUUUGCUGUAUGUAGGUUCCAGUCCUUCUCAUCUGGAGCCAGCAUGGGAGGAUAUGAAUUCCUGGUACCAAGUUCAAAGACAGACGAAAGUACUGACCUUGAUGAAGCAAAGGGACAUUUCUAGCAGAUACAUACCACAGAUGGUAGCUUCUGGACGUGUAGGCCAUCCAGGCCCGUGCAACAAGCCGAACUCCAGUGGGAGUUGUGGUCAUCCACUGUGCAGCACUCCAAUCCUUGUCACCUCACCAGUUGGGGAGACCAUUUCAAAUCUGAUACGGAACGGAUUGUUUGGUGUUGAGGAGGCUCUGAGAUGUUGCCAUGACUGUUUAUCUGCUCUUGCUGCUGCAUCAUCUGCGGGAAUCCGUCACGGUGAUAUCCGGCCAGAAAAUGUGAUCCGUGUCAGCAAUGGUUCAAGGCAACCACAUUUUGUACUUAUUGGAUGGGGUCAUGCUAUCCUAGAAGAUAGGGAUCGACCUUUGAUGAAUCUAUUCUUUUCAUCUACUUUUGCUCUUCAGGAAGGGAAGCUAUGUGCCGCAUCUGAUGCUGAAAGUUUAAUAUACCUUUUAUAUUUCUCGUGUGGUGGAGUCUGCCCAGAGCUUGACUCGGUUGAAGGUGCACUUCAAUGGAGAGAGACAUCAUGGUCAAGGAGAGUUAUACAACAGAAGUUGGGUGAUGUUGCAGCAGUUUUGAAAGCAUUUGCAGAUUAUGUUGACAGCCUUUGUGGGACCCCGUACCCAAUGGACUAUGAAAUAUGGUUACGAAGGUUCCGAAGAACAAUAAAUGAAGAUCAUGGGAAGGAGGUUGACACAUCAAGUUAG